rnacentral:rRNA from 1 species
UACAGAGGUCUCAAGCGUUGUUCGGAAUCAUUGGGCGUAAAGGGCGUGUAGGCGGUUUGUUAAGUCAUGUGUGAAAUCCCUCGGCUCAACCGGGGAACGACGCAUGAAACUGGCAAGCUAGAGUACCAAAGAGGGGGGUGGAAUUCCACGUGUAGCAGUGAAAUGCGUAGAUAUGUGGAGGAACACCGAUGGCGAAGGCAGCCCCCUGGGUUAACACUGACGCUCAUGCACGAAAGCGUGGGGAGCAAACAGG